UUUAUAUAAGCAUAUCCACACUAGUAUUUAUAUAAGCAUAUAUAUCCGCACUAGCUUUUAAGUUAAUCUCCAACUAGUUCAUCUUCUGUGACUAGAAUUAAAAAUUUAGUAAAAAAAGUAUAAAAAAGAAAUAUACUAAGCAUAGGCAAAACAAUCAUUUCGCAAAAUUAUUUUCGUUUUACCGCCAUUUACCAAAAAACCCUCUAAAAACCUAUCUAAGAAACUUGGCAGUUUAUCCACAAUCUUAGUGGAGUUUAAAUUACCAAUUCCUCUCAUCCAUUACAAUCCCCACUACUCCUCUCCGAUUAUUCCCCACUUUCCUUAACUCCAGUAAGUAUAGGUAGGAAACACUGAAUUGUUCGGAAAUGGUCAGAGAAGAAGUUGAGAAUACGAGGGCAGACAUGGUAAUCAACAGAGUGGAAAGAGCACACAGGCCAAGCAAUGAAAUUCCUGAUGGAUUCAACUAUAACUAUCUCAAGAUUUACUACGAUCAUACUGCAAUACGACAAGUCGAUGAAGAUGUGAAGCUAAACCACAAAAGAUUGGAGGGUGAAGAUCUUGAAGCACUUGGUUUAUCUUCAAGACACAUAAUAGAUUUUUGGCACCUUAGUUAUUUAAAUAUUUU